GUGGAAAGAAUGGAUUUGGAGCUAGGAGACCCAGAAAGGCUAGACUGAUUGAUUUUAAUGACCUGAAGAUAUUGCAAAAAUACAGGCCUAUUUACCCUAUUACUCUUGUAGUUUGGGUACCCUCAGAUUUAAGAUGGGGUCUAGCUAUAUUGCCCAGAUUGGUCUUGAACCCUUGGAUUCAAGUGACCUUCUCUUAUCCUCCCAGUGCUGUGGCUACAGGUCCAUGCUAUCACACCUGGCCUUCACUGCAAAUCCGAAACUCUUUUUCAUUCAGUCCCAAGACUCAUCCUAGGAGUAAAAUGUACCUGCAAAAACAGUUCAGGAUGUAAUUCCAGUGACUCAGGAGGAUUGAAAGUUUGAGGAUAGCCUGGGCAACUUAGCAAGAUGCUGCCUCAAAUAAAAAUUUUAAAAGGGCUGGGGAUAUAACUCAGAGAUAGAAAGUUCCUGAGUUCAAUUCCCAGUACCCCUCCUGCCCACACCCCUCCUGGGAAAAGAAAAAUUUAAGAGAAAAAAAAUUU
rnacentral:lncRNA from 1 species